AAUAAUUGCAGAACCUGAUAAUGCGGCAUGUGAAUCACUCUGCUAGUGAUCUGAUUGAUCUCUUGCAAGGGCUUCUGUGAUAUGACCGAGCAGAGCAGCUCAAAGCAAAGGAAGCUCUUAGACAUCCCUACCUGAGAAGGUGACUGGUUGGAUGGUUGAAUACCAAGAUAAUCUGGUAAGCCUUGGUGUUGAUGAGUCCUUAGCUCAAGUUUGUUCCAAGAGUGGUGCAAUGGAUCCCCUUAUGAAUGCAUAUGUUGAAAGAAUGCAAGCUACAACAAGGAAAUGGUACUUGAAUAUCCUUGAGGCUAAAAAGGUACAACCACCAAAGAAA